UACCUUAUAUGUAAUCACAGCAGUCAGGCGGCGAGUGAUAAAAUCCGUCGUCAAGAGGGAAACAACCCAGACUACCAGCUAAGGUCCCUAAAUCUUACUUAAGUGGAAAACGAUGUGAAGUUACUUAAACAACCAGGAGGUUGGCUUAGAAGCAGCCAUCCUUUAAAGAAAGCGUAAUAGCUCACUGGUCUAGUGAUUUUGCGCGGAAAAUAUAACGGGGCUAAAGUAAGUACCGAAGCUGUAGACUUGCGCACAACUUAGAUUAUUUAAGUUUAGAAUAUGAGAAACUAAGUUAUAUGUUUAGUUAUAUUUUUACUGAUUUUUAUAGAGUAAAGAUAGAAAUAAAACUUAGUAAAAUCAGUAAAAAUAUUCUUAGACUAAAGUUAAGUAGUUUAAGUUGUGUGCAAGUGGUAGGAGAGCGUUCUAUUUGCGUCGAAGGUAUACCGGUAAGGAGUGCUGGAGCAAAUAGAAGUGAGCAUGCAGGCAUGAGUAGCGAUAAUUAAUGUGAGAAUCAUUAACGCCGUAAACCCAAGGUUUCCUACGCGAUGCUCGUCAUCGUAGGGUUAGUCGGGUCCUAAGUCGAGUCCGAAAGGGGUAGACGAUGGCAAAUUGGUUAAUAUUCCAAUACCAACAUUAGUGUGCGAUGGAAGGACGCUUAGGGCUAAGGGGGCUAGCGGAUGGAAGUGCUAGUCUAAGGUCGUAGGAGGUUAUACAGGCAAAUCCGUAUAACAAUACUCCGAGAACUGAAAGGCUUUUUGAAGUCUUCGGAUGGAUAGAAGAACCCCUGAUGCCAUCGAGCCAAGAAAAGUUUCUAAGUUUAGCUAAUGUUGCCCGUACCGUAAACCGACACAGGUGGGUGGGAUGAGUAUUCUAAGGCGCGUGGAAGAACUCUCUUUAAGGAACUCUGCAAAAUAGCACCGUAUCUUCGGUAUAAGGUGUGGUUCGCUUCGUAUUAGGAUUUACUCCGAAAGCGAAGAAACUUACAACAAAGAGUCCCUCCCGACUGUUUACCAAAAACACAGCACUCUGCUAACUCGUAAGAGGAUGUAUAGGGUGUGACGCCUGCCCGGUGCUCGAAGGUUAAUUGAUGGGGUUAGCAUUAGCGAAGCUCUUGAUCGAAGCCCGAGUAAACGGCGGCCGUAACUAUAACGGUCCUAAGGUAGCGAAAUUCCUUGUCGGUUAAAUACCGACCUGCAUGAAUGGCGUAACGAGAUGGGAGCUGUCUCAAAGAGGGAUCCAGUGAAAUUGUAGUGGAGGUGAAAAUUCCUCCUACCCGCGGCAAGACGGAAAGACCCCGUGGACCUUUACUACAGCUUGACACUGCUAUUUGGAUAAGAAUGUGCAGGAUAGGUGGGAGGCUUUGAGUAUAUGACGCCAGUUGUAUAUGAGCCAUUGUUGAGAUACCACUCUUUCUUAUUUGGGUAGCUAACCAGCUUGAGUUAUCCUCAAGUGGGACAAUGUCUGGUGGGUAGUUUGACUGGGGCGGUCGCCUCCCAAAUAAUAACGGAGGCUUACAAAGGUUGGCUCAGAACGGUUGGAAAUCGUUCGUAGAGUAUAAAGGUAUAAGCCAGCUUAACUGCAAGACAUACAAGUCAAGCAGAGACGAAAGUCGGUCUUAGUGAUCCGGUGGUUCUGUGUGGAAGGGCCAUCGCUCAAAGGAUAAAAGGUACCCCGGGGAUAACAGGCUGAUCUCCCCCAAGAGCUCACAUCGACGGGGAGGUUUGGCACCUCGAUGUCGGCUCAUCGCAUCCUGGGGCUGGAGCAGGUCCCAAGGGUAUGGCUGUUCGCCAUUUAAAGCGGUACGCGAGCUGGGUUCAGAACGUCGUGAGACAGUUCGGUCCCUAUCUGCCGUGGGCGUAAGAAGAUUGAAGAGAUUUGACCCUAGUACGAGAGGACCGGGUUGAACAAACCACUGGUGUAGCUGUUGUUCUGCCAAGAGCAUCGCAGCGUAGCUAAGUUUGGAAAGGAUAAACGCUGAAAGCAUCUAAGCGUGAAGCCAACUCUAAGAUGAAUCUUCUCUAAGCUCUCUAGAAGACUACUAGUUUGAUAGGCUGGGUGUGUAAUGGAUGAAAGUCCUUUAGCUGACCAGUACUAAUAGAGCGUUUGGCUUAUCUUUAAUAAAGCAU
rnacentral:rRNA from 1 species